rnacentral:RNase_P_RNA from 1 species
GAAGCGGGCCAGACCGCCGCUGGUGCAAGUCUCGAAAGAGCGCACUGGAGGAACGUCCGGACUGCACAGGACAGCGCAGGAGCUAACGGCUCUCCACCGCGAGGUGAGGAUCAGAGCAACAGAGACGAGUCGGCGAGGGGGUGACCCCGGGCCGGGUGAAACGGGCAAUCUCUGCGCGCAGCAACACCAAGUAGGCCAGUAUCGAGGUGGUUCCGCUGAGCUGGCGGGUAGGUGGCAUCGAGCCGUCCGGGCGACCGGCGGCCCAGAGUAAUGGCGGUCACGCCGGCAUCGUCGCGAGACGGCGCCGGCGCACAGAAUCCGGCUUAUCGGCUCGCUUCACAC